rnacentral:rRNA from 1 species
GUAGGUGGCAAGCGUUGUCCGGAAUUAUUGGGCGUAAAGCGCGCGCAGGCGGUCCUUUAAGUCUGAUGUGAAAGCCCACGGCUCAACCGUGGAGGGUCAUUGGAAACUGGGGGGCUUGAGUACAGAAGAGGAAAGCGGAAUUCCAAGUGUAGCGGUGAAAUGCGUAGAGAUUUGGAGGAACACCAGUGGCGAAGGCGGCUUUCUGGUCUGUAACUGACGCUGAGGCGCGAAAGCGUGGGGAGCAAACAGGGAUUAGAUACCCUGGUAGUCCACGCCGUAAACGAUGAGUGCUAAGUGUUAGGGGGUUUCCGCCCCCUUAGUGCUGCAGCUAACGCAUUAAGCACUCCGCCUGGGGAUACGGCCGCAAGGCUG